rnacentral:hammerhead_ribozyme from 1 species
GCAAUGCUGAGGAGUCCCAUAACAGGACGAAACAGACGUCCAAUGC